UCGUGUGAAACUCUUUCCACAUGUAAAUUUGCCAAAUGUGGAAAGAGUUUCACGCGUUC
rnacentral:pre_miRNA from 1 species